CGCGUAGGUGGUUGCGUAAGUCGGAUGUGAAAUCCCCAGGCUUAACCUGGGAACUGCAUCCGAUACUGCAUGACUCGAGUGCAGCAGAGGGAAACGGAAUUCCUGGUGUAGAGGUGAAAUUCGUAGAUAUCAGGAGGAACACCGGUGGCGAAGGCGGUUUCCUGGGCUGACACUGACACUGAGGCGCGAAAGCGUGGGUAGCAAACAGGAUUAGAUACCCUGGUAGUCCACGCUGUAAACGGUGAGUGCUGGGUGUGGGAGGUGUAAUGCCUUCUGUGCCGAAGCUAACGCGUUAAGCACUCCGCCGUGGGGAGUACGGCCGCAAGGUUGAA
rnacentral:rRNA from 1 species